CUGACAAGCUAUUAUGGUAAAAUAAAAUAAAAAAUUGAUGUCAUUUCUAUUGAAACUUUUAUGUCAUGUAUUUAAAUUUGUAAUUAGCUACAGUUUCGGUGCCUUGCUCAAAGGCACCUCAGUCGUGGUAUUGCCGGCCUGAGACUCGAACCCACAACCUUAGGGUUAAGAAUCAAACUCUCUAACCACUAGGCCACGACUUCCCCACAUAAAUACACAUGCAAGACAAUUGAAUGCACUUCUUUUUCACAUAGGGCUGCUAAAGUGAUAUUAGAAUGAAUAAAUAAAUCAAAUUCCUAAAUGCAGAUUUAACAAGCUGGGUUUGGAUAAGGUCUCUGGCGCAGAGGAGCCCCCAUCUCACUGCCAGGUGGAGGAGAUCCACAUGUUCCAGCCCGUCCACUCGGCUCUCUAAAUGUUGAGAAGAUUGUGUUUAUAGACAUCGGUACAGCACACUCUGUUGCAGUCACAGGUCAGAGCAUUUCAUUUACACUGCAGUUCAGUGUGCUGUGUUGAUUUAGUCUGAGGAUCAACUUAUAAACUAUGAAUGUGCCCUAAAUGCAGAGAAAGGUCAGUGUUUCAGUAACCAGCAUGGGCAGCUUGGUUGCAGUUCCCGCCAAAGCAGCUGAGUGCCCUAUCAAGUGUCAGGACUGCAGGAGAUCACCAUAGCCGCGUGUGGCGAUGCUUUCACUCUGCCUAUCGGAGCAGAGGGGGGAGUGUACACCUGGGGUAAAGGGGCAUGUGGUCGGCUUGGACGGAAAGAAGAGGAUUCUGGGAAACCAAAGGCAGUGCAGCUUGAUGAGAGCCACCCUUACACUGUCACGUCAGUGGCUUGUUGCCAUGGAAACACACUGUCGGCUGUGAAACAUAAUGUGUAGCCAUAAUUUCUUUUAUGAAUGUUAACAGUUCUUGAAUAGACAUUUAUUGUAAUUAUCUACUGUUGAUUUGGACUUACAAAGGUUGUUGUCAUUGUUAAAACACACUGACUAUAUUCUCCCUCAUAAUUUCUCUCCUCAGCUUUUUUUGAAGAGCCCGUUCCAAAGUGACAUCACUGCCUCUGCCCAAAUCACUGCACACACUCAGCUCCUGUCCAUGAGGACACUAGUGUGGAUUCAUUAAGAAUUUUAAGCUAUGCAGUUGUGUUAAUAAUGUAACAGACACUGUAUGUAAAGCUUUUUAUAACAACAACAACAAUUAUUAUUAUUAUUUUUAUGUAGCAUUGUAAAUAAUGCCUGGUUUCUCAACAAGGUCUGACUGCCUUGAAGAAAAACACAACAAAACAACUAUAUGAAGAUAAUUAUGUGCUGCUUAUGUUAACACAUAAUUUAACAACAAUUGAAACUGUUAAAACACAGUUUCUAAAGUGUAUUGUAAAUAUGUUCCUGGGCAUUACAAGGGUCCUUGUGGACAAAAAUAAAUUAUUUAAAAAGUAUGUUAAUUAAUUGCACGUGUUAAUUAAUAUUACUCAGUACUUAAAUAUAUAUUUACACUGUAACAAGGACACCUUAAAGCAGUGUAAUCAAAACUACUAUUAUUUUAUAGUUAGAACAACCACAAAAAAUAUUAAUAUUAAUGUAUAUCAAAAAGCAUACUCGUACUCAGAUAAAUACAUGGAUGAAUACCAUCAACAUGGCAGGAUACACAGAGCUCGUGCGUCCAUCAUGAUGUAAUUCUUGUGCAAUAUGUGAUGCUCACAAAAAGAC
rnacentral:lncRNA from 1 species